UCGAGCCGAACCACAACUCGCACAUUGUGUUCACAUCGCACGCGAACGAGCCAACGGGUUUUGCGAGCCGCAUUCGCAAGCCGACUCGCGAAUUGCGAACAUCGCGUGGAAUAAAUUCGCGACGCAAAAAACGCUCUAUUAUUCAAUCUAACAAAAAAGUGUUGAAAUUUUUACAAAAAUUGCAAAGUUUUUCGUGAUUUUUCUGUUUUUUACUCCAUAUUUUUGAAGAUUUUGUGUGAAAAUUGAAUUACAACACUCAAAACUUUGGAUUUGUCAUAUUUUACUGGAAAUUUGCGACGUUUUGGUGAUUUUCUGUAUUUUUACCGCGGAUUUUAGAAGAUUUUGUGCCAAAAUUGGAUUACAACCUUUAUAACCUUGGAUAUUAUAAAAAUGCAACGUCAAAUUCAAGGAUUUUGUGCUGUGAACGACACUUUUCAAGGAUUAUUAAGUUGAAUUAAUGAAUAAGUUUACUUGAGUGCGUUAAAAAAAUAAAGUUUUAACUGAAAGUGUAAUUUUUACAUCAUCAUCAUCAUUAUUCGCCCUCUUUUUGUUCCUUUUUGGCAGUUUUUGGCGUUUUAAUACAAAACACGUGUGCGAUAUGUGUGUGCGGAGGGUGAAGAAAAGUGUAAAAAAAACUCAGCACGAGCAAAAACGCCCCGACGCGCGUAUUAGUAUUAACUCGUAUCGGUUACGAGCGCUGUUUUUUGUGCGAUUCCCAUAGUGUUGUCUCUGUGCGCAGCCAUAGUAAGGCAUCAAAAACGCUGUUAGGAUGUUAGGAAACCCGCCAACAUACACCCGCAUAUUGCCGCUUGCACAUGCUGCACGUGGGGUGGCCGAACAGACGCGCGCAUCUUUAUCGCAGAAAACGCCGAAAAACACAAGGGGAGACUUUUUUCGUCGCGUAACCGACACGACUAAUUUUACCCACAGCGGAAAACGCACGAAACAAAAGAACAUUUUGUUACACAAUAUAUUUUAAUUUUAAACAACAGCCGCAACCUUGAAUAAUAAAUUUAUUGGUGUCAACAGUGAAUCAAAGCGAAAAUAUUGACGUGUGUAAUUACAAUACUUAACUUAAACGAAAAACAAACGCGCAUCAUUAUCAGCAGUCAAAUUAUAUUCCGCGUUUAUCGAUCAAUAAAUAACACGAAUUUGUGCGAUUUGUGUGCGUUCAAACACGUCUAGACACGAUAAACAAAUUAAAUUCAAUAAUUACGUGUUUAAAUAUUGUUUCAAAAUUAAUUCCGAGCAAAUGUCAGAGACAACAGUUGUGUUGCAACAACGACAUGUGAUGAACGAAAAUUGUCUACUCAUGCGGAAACGAAGAAAGACAGAAGUGCAUCGUUGACCUAGAUUUUGCCAAGUCCACUUGGUUUCGAAAUAGACGCCGUGGUCGUGAUUACGGCGUGCCACUGCCAUUGCGCAUGCAUCAUCGAAGAGAGAGUCAACGCCGGACGGGUUGAUCAUCUACACUUUAGACCAGAGAGAAAGAAGACACGGAGCGUUAACACGCCGCGAAGGUCACUCAAGUGGCAACACCGCACAACUUCCGCUUAAAUCUUCACUGCAUAAUAUCAGCGUCAAGUGCCACAUAACCAAAAACCAUCUAAUCCUUCAAGUGCGUUACAGUAGGGCUUUUGUGCUCGUUUUCCAGACGUGAAACUUGUUGAAUUUGGCGUCGCCGGUUGUAAUUUUGUAUUUUUUACGAGGUUCUAAAUUAUUUAUGCAAUCAAAUAAGUCUGAAGCUGUCUAAAGGGUUGUUUAGGUUGGAUUUUUACGCGUUUCGCAUAAAUUUCAGAGUCCGGCCGCUGGACCCUUUUUUUACUGCGUGCCCCUUUUUUAUGUUUCGCCGACAAUGAAAAAAUAUGCGCAUUUUUAUGGCUGAGAAGACAUUUUUCGGCAAAUGUAUCCUUUCAUCGUAAAAAAACGUAUAAAAAGUUUUUGAUGUGAGAAUUGAAAAUUUGCACUUUUCAACUUGAAAUAUUUGUCAACGCUCACCCUCGCCAUAUCAGUAACACCGGAAUAACAAAACUUCAAAUCCAAACACGUCUGAGGGGUCGCCGCAGACCUAAAUCAACAAGUGUUGCGCUGCGUCGCUAGAAAAAUUAUAAUUUUUUGCCUGUUUUUUGCUGCCCGUCCGGUAUCACCACCGGAGAUCAGCGUAGAUUGCGUGUGGUGUUUGCUGUUGCAGUCGGGCGCGAUGAUGAUGGGAAGAAUUUCACGCCCCCUUAUCGUCUAUUAUGCGAUGAUGGAAACGUCUAAAUUUCACCAACGCUGACUUUGAACCUGAGAAUCCAGCCAAGUUGAGAUUUCUAAGCGAAACGUCAAGUUGAAGACGUUAUUAAUGAAUUAUUAAACGUGCGCUAAUGGUUUUUAUGCUAUAAUGUGCAAAACCUGUGUUUUUUCGUUUUUAAAAUGAUCAUUUUUCUUGUUUAACUUGAAAGAUGUCUAAAUUAAAACGUCUGGUGUAAAAUCUUUGGCAAGAAGCGUGAAAAACGUAAAACAUGUUUGAAUGAUAAAUGAUAAAUGAUAAAAUAUUACUUUAUUUAAAUUCGGCGUAUUAUUGAAUAUAAAAUAAACGAUUGAGUGAUUACCCCUAGUUGAUGUUGUCAGAUGUGUUGUAAUCAUAAGUACAUUCUAGGAAAACAGGUAGCGACCCUUUUCGCAACAUGCUAUAAUUUGAAGGUGCGAGGGUGAAAUUUGCAUUUUCUAGUCAUUCAUGAAGUUUGCACACGCAAAGACCAUACUUUUGAAUAGGGGAGGCACACCCUAUAUCGUAAUCAUCUAUUGUAGUGACAAGAAUGCUUUAUAUUGCGAAAUAUUCUCAAUAAUGCUAAAAAAUUAGUUAAUUUGAUAAUUAUCAUUGUAAAACCUAAUAAAACUAGUGAUAAACUUGA